AUUGAACGCUGGCGGCAUGCCUUACACAUGCAAGUCGAACGGCAGCACGGGAGCAAUCCUGGUGGCGAGUGGCGAACGGGUGAGUAAAGUAUCGGAACGUGCCCAGUCGUGGGGGAUAACGUAGCGAAAGUUACGCUAAUACCGCAUACGAUCUAUGGAUGAAAGCGGGGGAUCGCAAGACCUCGCGCGAUUGGAGCGGCCGAUAUCAGAUUAGGUAGUUGGUGGGGUAAAGGCUCACCAAGCCGACGAUCUGUAGCUGGUCUGAGAGGACGACCAGCCCAACUGGGACUGAGACACGGCCCAGACUCCUACGGGAGGCAGCAGUGGGGAAUUUUGGACAAUGGGCGAAAGCCUGAUCCAGCCAUGCCGCGUGCAGGAUGAAGGCCUUCGGGUUGUAAACUGCUUUUGUACGGAACGAAAAGGUUUGGCCUAAUAAGCUGAGCUCAUGACGGUACCGUAAGAAUAAACACCGGCUAACUACGUGCCAGCAGCCGCGGUAA
rnacentral:rRNA from 1 species